rnacentral:rRNA from 1 species
AUGUCUCUGCCCCGAAGGGUGAUAGUUUCUCUUAUGCUACUGAUUUCUUGGGAAAUAUGGAAAGAGAGAAAUGCACGUGUGUUCCGUAACAACGCAGUUCCGGUUGGUGUUCUUGUUGCUCGAAUUAAAGAGGAAGCUUCUCUGUGGUGUCUAGCUGGGGAAAAUAUUUUGUGUAAUAUUAUGCCACAAGAGUGA